AGUACGAAGUUAACAUCGGACUUUUAAUCCGCGGGUCGUGGGUUCGAGCCCCACGGGGCCCA
rnacentral:tRNA from 1 species